GGAUCUGGAUUGAAAUCUGAGUCAUCCAUCGAUCACCAUCAAAGCCUUGAUGGUGGAAUACAAAGUAUCCUUCUCUACUUUUUUCCAUUGAACCCAAAACAAAUUCUACUAGUCCACUGCAGCUUGACCACAGAAUGGUGAUGAAGCUGUGUUGUCAAAUUUAAGCUUUGGUGGCACCAUGGCUUUUAAUGACAAGAAUUUAGGCCAAACCAACUUUAUUAUAUUAACCAUAUUUGUGCCAUAGGCCGCAACGCCAAGCAUAUAUGACAGAUUAUUUUUUGCCAGCAGCCAUCCGUCCUUGAUAACACUGAUGAACAGAGCAAUUUUGGCUUUGAGUAAAAGCCUUGAACCUCUACAUGAGGUUAUUGAGUCAAACAGAACCAAGACAAUAAUGAAGAAAAAAUUUACGUAAAAAAAAUGGACUGUUACAAAACAGGAUGUGCUUGACUUGAACUCUACUGCAUAACUUGGCGUGCACUUCAAUAAACCCAGACAAUAAUACAAUAAAUUACAAAAAUAUGGGCAUACAAAGAAGGAAUAGAACUUCUGUCAAAAAAAAAAAAAAGGAAUAUAACUCGACAAUGAAGUAGACAAAUACCAAAAUCAGUGACAGUUUGAACAACAACAAUAGAGCCUUAUCCCACAAAGUGGGGCCAAUCAAAAGAGGUCAUAAUGUUCUAUCAUAUAUAAUAUCUUAUAUCUCUAUCUCAUCUCUAGAUCUUUCUCAAUAGUUUUUCUUUUAGUUUUUGUAGGUCUUCCUCUACCUCUAGUGGUUUGACUAUCUUCCAUCUGAUCUACUCUCCUUACUACAUAAUCUAUAGGUCUCCUCUGUCCUCUAUACAGGCCCAAACCACCUAAGCCGAAUUUCCACCAUCUUUUCUACGAUGGGUGAUACUCCAACUCUCUAACACUGUCACUUCUAAUGCCAACAUGUCUAGUCUUACCACACAUCCAAAGCAACAUCCUAAUCUCCGCUACACUUAUUCUAUUCAGGUGUUGGUUCUUUACCACCCAACACUUGGUCCCUUGCAACAUCACCGAUCUUAAAGAUGUACAAUAAAAGAGAUUCUAGUUCAAGAAAGGGACAAUAUCCUGAAAAUGUGUUGGAACUGCAAAUGAAAUAGAAAAUGGUAGAGGAAAUGCAAAAGGUUAACAACCUGACCUCUUCUCUUCCCGUGUUUAAGGAAAAGCUGAGGAGCAAAGAACAUGGGAUAUUAGCACAGUUUUCAAAGCUACUGGUAAGAGAGGCCCAACAUGUAAAUUGAACACUCUUUUUUAUUCUGUUAUUGAAUGUUAAUAUCACUUCAUCACUAUUUAUUAUCCAUUAGCAUUAGAAUGGAAAAUCCUCCGUGCCUAAGCAGUACAUUUAAUUUGCCAGAGGACAGUCAUAACGGACAAGAGAGCCAAAAAAAUAUUUUUACCUUCAUUGAUAAAUAUCAAAUCUCAAAAGAAAACAUGGAAGUUAACCCAAAGAUUAUGGCUACUCUCCUAUUUAAAAGGAAUGAGGAUGUAUCUGAUAAUGUGAUGUCAGAGAGAAAUAAAACUACUUCAAUCAUGUUGUGAAAAAUUUGAAGAUCUUCUUUCCGAUAGACACCUCACCGGGAUCCUCCUCCUCUUCGUCUUCGUCUUCCUCUUCCCCCUCGUCCUCAUUUUCAACGUCAUUGACUAUGCUUCCAUCUUCAUCUCCAUACUCCAGUGUACCACUUUCUUCAAUGCGGUCCACAGAGUUGGUUGUAGCACCAUUGUCAUCAACAUUGUCUCUUGGUAUUUCAAACUGUAAAAGGUGUUUGAAUAUUAAAUAAAACAGCGCAUAUAUCUAAAAAUUCCAAUUAAAUCAAUCAUCAAUAAAGGAAGACUGAUUUACCCUUACAACUCGAUCAUCUUUGAUCUCCACAGACUUUACGGUUGAGAUCUGCACUAGAGUCGUGGUUUGGAUAUUGUCAUCAGCUACCACUGCUACUUCAGGGUUUUUAUCACCUGCAUCCUGUUUACCACCAGAAGCUUCUUUUUCAAGAGCCUUUGUUUUGUUGGAUAACUCCUGUGUUGAUGAAACUGUGCCUGCACUGCUCAAAGAAAGACAUGAUGUCAGAAUAACAACAACUAAGCCUUAUCCCACUAAGUGGGGUCAGCUCAAGGAAAAGCAUAACAUUCUAUCAAACGGCAUCGUUGGAUAACUCCUGUUUUAGGCAGUCAACAUAAAACUGUCAAAUCUCUAUGAUGUGAUGUCAGAAUAAUCAAGAGAACUCUGACCAGACCACAACCGACAAUGAUGCAUGGUGCUAAAUAUAUUAUUACAAGCUACACAAAUCCACAUGAAGAACAAACAAUAACACCCUUGACAUCCUCCUGCAUUAAAUAGUUUCUCAAUCGGGCAAUUGACAUUCCUCCUAUUACACACAGUAAGAUAUUAUAUAUUAUCGGAAAAAUAUCAACCACAGUAAAGUCAAAUGCACUUCCUUCAGAUAACCCAGUAAAAAAAUCCAAAAUUAAUAUUUAAAAUGCCCUCGAUCAAAAAACUAUACAAACUAGAUAACCAAGAUUGAGGGGCUGCAAUUAAGAUCUACAUGUCAGUAGAACAAUCAAACUGCAAUCUCAAUUUUCAUUAAUAUCUGAUAAUUAGUGCAUUUCUGUCCAUAUAAAUAAUCAAUCUAGCACUUAAAUGAACAAUGCCAAAGUUCUAGAACUACAAUACGACAACACCUAUUGCGGGUAUGUUUGGAUUGCAGUUGUAAACAUACAGUUUUCUUAUAAAAUCUUGGGAUAAUUUGGGUCCAAAGACUUGCAGUUUUUCAAUAGCAAACUAAACAUACACUAUACUGUUUACAGAAAUGUAGAAAUCAUAUUGACUAAUCAAUAAACAGUUGGAUAAAUCAAUUAACAUAGGAACAGUUAUGAUCUGCGGAGAAAAUAUGGUUAGGGAAUGAGUCUUCUUGUGUUUAUUACAAGGUUCAAAUAAUUAAAUCCUAGAACUACAUCCACACCUCACUUUUAUAAAAGACCCGUGGGAAGAAUGACAAUAUUGUAAAUAUGAGAACAUUGGAGGGUAAUAAGAGAACCAUAAUAAAGGAAAUUAUCUCCUAGAAGUUUGUGGUUGUAAUUCAUACCAGCUACUAUAUGGAUGAUAACUUUGAUUUCUUUAUACAAAACUCUCUAAACAUGAAUGAAGCUUAGCACAAAAUAAUUAAUAAUCAUGGUAGUUGUUUUGCAGCCUCUUACUUUUAAUGUUUUUCUCCACAGUAAGCUAUUUUAUGGCCUUAUCUUUUCAGCUUUUCAGCUUUUGAGCUUUAUUAAUUGUUCACAGUGUAGUAUAUACACAUACAUAUACAUUACAUUAUUUGCAUUCAUAUGAUUCAUCCAUAGCUAAUGCAGCCAUAACAUUAAGGUUUGGAGACUCUAAUAGUAAUUUAAACCAUUGACCAUAAUCUUCAUAUGAAGUAUAUGUUUCUUGAACAACUUCAAAUGAAAUUUAACUUCUCAUGCUAUGUUGUUUAACUGUUUUACUAACUACUUAAACUAUUUAUCAUUUGCAGCUACAAAAAUUUACCAUGUGCAGAAUGCAGCAAUUCAUAUAACAUCACCAUGCCUAAUUCAAUGUUUUAGUUCUUCUAUCCAUCAGAGACCGUCUCAAGUUGCAUGUGAUUGCCGAAGUAAAACAAAGGUAUAUUCCCGGUAGGGUCUCCUGAAAUCUCAGAACCUAUAAUAUGUUUGCACUUUUUUUUUCCUUCUGUUUUCAAUGUUUCUGUACAAAGUUUCAUAUAGAAACAGUGAGAACAAAUUUUGAUUGUUAUGUUUUGAUUACACAAUUUGGAAAACAUGAAGAGUGACAAUUUUGAAAUUAAUAUAAAAAAAUGCAAAAUAAAUAAAAAAAAUCUACCAGGCUCUUAGUAUUCUUGUGAUUAAUUAAUAGGGUUCUUUGGUACACCAAGUACACCAAGUACCAACCCUGAUUUUAAAGAAAUUUGUUCAUUGGGUCAUUUAGUAUGUUUUGUUCUGUGAGGCUUUCACGUUAAUCACGAUAAAAAACCAUGUUGACGUGGAAGCUUGGAUUUGGAGCUUUGAUGAAAUUGCGGCAAAAAAAGUACAAGACUCACAAUUGAAGACUGAAACAUCAAACCAAACAUAUGUUUGUCAAAACUGAUCUUCUCAUAUCAAUGCUCCUAAGAACUGCUAUAUGGUAGGAUAAAUGUGAUAAGAAUAGGAGUCAACUGUCAAGUUUGAACCAAGGUUAGGUCUAGCCGAAGUGGCUAGUCUUCCAGACCUAAAGUUUGAAUCCUAGUUGGGAGAGCUAUCCACAUUUAGUGCUCGACAGUUCCUCGAACAUGAUUACCUUCCGUGGAGGUAAUCUGUAGGAAGAAAAGAAGAGAUGUCAAGUGUUGUGGCCUGGGUCAUUUCAUAUAUGUUAAAGUGCAUAACAUCUAAAUGCCCUUUUUUUUUUCUUUCUUUUGUUUGGUACUAACAAUAAACUUUGUAACAGGUUUUUGCAAUGAGGAGAAGAAGGGCAAAUGAGAGAACAGAUACUUAUGUACUAUUAGAACCAGGGAAGGAUGAGAGGUUUGUGUCAGAGGAAGAGUUGAAAGAUACUUUGAAAGAGUGGCUCACAAAUUGGCCUGGCAAGACUCUACCUCCUGAUCUUGCAAGAUAUGAAACCAUUGAUGAUGAUGUUUCUUUCUUAGCAAAGUCCUUUUGAAAACUUGAAAUUGAUAGAGAAGUUGGAUCAGUUCAGUGGUAUGAAAUUCGUUUGGAGUGAAUAUAUAGAAUCAAAUUAUUCCAUCAACCAUUUCAUUUGUGUCUUGCCAACUUGUGAUUGUAAUAGUUGAGGAACCAUUUGUGUUAUUUAGAACAUUCCAUUCUCUUGUAACUGACACAAACAUGUUAUUUAUAAUUUGGAUGAAUAGUUUAAUUAAACACUUGCAACAUAAACAUUUAUUAUAAAAGUGCUUAUGUACAAACUAUUUUCAUAAAAACUAUAAGUUGUUUUUAUAAACUAUCCAGCAACACUUGUGGAAAUUAACCGAGAACAACUUAAAGACAUGUCAUAAGUUGUUUCCAUAUCAAAUUCCUUGCAACAGAAAAGUACCACUUCCCUAAUCAUAUCCCCAUUUAUCGUAAUCUAUCUGCCAAAGUAUACCAAAUCAGAGAAAAAAGGUUGAAAAGAAACAAGGAUAAACAAUUUCUACUAGAAGGGUAAAAUAAAUUGAUCUUAUUUGAAAUCCUUACAUAAGUUUUUUCAAGGAUCAAUAGAUUAGGAGAUUACAAAACUUUUUAACAUCAGAGUAUGUUGCUAGAAAAUCCUACUUAGGAACAAAAAUCAGAAGAGCAUUAUAUAGUUCUUUAAGAUACUUCAUCAUCUUCAAGUUGGAAUUCCUUGAUUAUCAUGUAGAACAAAGUUCCAUUGAAUUCCUCAAGUUGAGUUGAGUUUCUCAUCAAUCAGCAUUGGAAGCUUAUUUUGAAGAGGACUCGGAUCCUGCAAGCACAUGUUUGGAACCUGCAGUAAUCGGCAUAAACUAGCACUGUUAAAAAUAACCACACUGAAAAUUACACACCAAAUUAACAAUCCCACAUAUAUUGUAAGCAAUGAAUACAUCAGACACGACACUCACACGCCGACACAAAUAAUAAUUUGAGCAAAUGAAGUUAUUGAAUUAUUAAAUGUAAUCACGUGUGUGUCAGACACCGAACAGAUAUACGAUAUGAAGUGUCCGUGCUAUAUAUGUUAUAUAAGAAAUCUGAAGCUGUUAUUGAUACCUUUGGUUGAUAUUUACCAGGUCCAGGUGGUAAUAGUGCACCACCCUUUAUGUUUAUAGCAAGAAGGCCUUUGGUUACUGGGGACAUCAUCAUAUCAGUUGGGCUUGUAUACCUAACAAAAUGAAGUAAAAAAAAACAAUUAGCCAACACAUAAUGAUAGAUAGAUAUUCAUUCACUAACCCAACUAAGGACACAAAAAUUGAUUUUGAAUGUAUAAAUUCUUUAAAAUUGGUUUCAACAUAAAAGUGAUUUACUUUUGAUAAAUUAAAAAAUAAUUGCAGAAACAAAAAUUACAAAUUCUAGUUUUAAAUUAGAAUUAAUUAUACCGAAACAAUCAAUUAAACUACCAGAUAACAUAAAACAUGUCAAAAUCAAUUCAAACAAGCACACAGUCUUAACCAUCACUGAAUCAACUUUAAAAUACAACUCGAAAUAUGAGCUGUCAGAUCUUUAUGGAAUUGCGUGAUUACAGAUAAUCUAAUAUAAAAGACAAGGUAGAUACCUUUCAGGAUAUUUGAAUGGUUUGGGGAGUUUGAGAUGAUCUGGGGUGACAGGUUUUCGCAAUUCAUUGGAGGGUAGUUGAUGAUGAUCAACAGGAGGAGGAGGAGGAGGAGGAGGAGGAGGAGGAGUUGGUAUUGUUUUGCAUUGAGAUUCCAUUUUUGGGUCCAGUAAAACUUUUAGAGUCCUAAUUUUACCAACUACAUGUCCCAAACGGCCGUGAUUAUAGCAAUCAUGGCAUGGCAUAUGUAACUUUUUACUAUAGGACCAGUAAAACUUUGAGAAAGGGAACAAGUGAUAAGAAACAACUGAGUUUCAUAUUGUGAGAAGUAGGGAGAAACAACAAGAUUCAAAUCAGAUCAGUUUUUGGAUUAGCCAGAGUUAUUAUAUUUAAGCCAAAUGAUAUUCUUUUACUUAGGCUUGCAGUUGCAGAAAAUUGCACCACACAUGAAGCUCGUCUGAAAAUGCAUUUCUAAAAAUUCCAGAGCUGCAUUUGCAUACAUAAUCAUGAUUCCCCUAAAAUCUUUGAAGGAAACAUAUACAAUUUGACAUGGCACCAUGAAACAAUGUAACUUUUAACCAAAAAAAUUUGACAUGUCCAACCUUGUCUAUAGCAGUGUAAAGGUAUUUCAUGAAAAUUUGGAAGUUAGAUGUCCAGUCGUGCAGAUGGUAAAAAAGUACCAGACGUGUAGAUGGUAAAAAAUUACCUGAAAAGGUGUCCAACCACAAGGAUCUGGAUUGAAAUCUGAGUCAUCCAUCGAUCACCAUCAAAGCCUUGAUGGUGGAAUACAAAGUAUCCUUCUCUACUUUUUUCCAUUGAACCCAAAACAAAUUCUACUAGUCCACUGCAGCUUGACCACAGAAUGGUGAUGAAGCUGUGUUGUCAAAUUUAAGCUUUGGUGGCACCAUGGCUUUUAAUGACAAGAAUUUAGGCCAAACCAACUUUAUUAUAUUAACCAUAUUUGUGCCAUAGGCCGCAACGCCAAGCAUAUAUGACAGAUUAUUUUUUACCAGCAGCCAUCCGUCCUUGAUAACACUGAUGAACAGAGCAAUUUUGGCUUUGAGUAAAAGCCUUGAACCUCUACAGAGGUUAUUGAGUCAAACAGAACCAAGACAAUAAUGAAGAAAAAAUUUACGUAAAAAAAAUGGACUGUUACAAAACAGGAUGUGCUUGACUUGAACUCUACUGCAUAACUUGGCGUGCACUUCAAUAAACCCAGACAAUAAUACAAUAAAUUACAAAAAUAUGGGCAUACAAAGAAGGAAUAGAACUUCUGUCAAAAAAAAAAAAAAGGAAUAUAACUCGACAAUGAAGUAGACAAAUACCAAAAUCAGUGACAGUUUGAACAACAACAAUAGAGCCUUAUCCCACAAAGUGGGGCCAAUCAAAAGAGGUCAUAAUGUUCUAUCAUAUAUAAUAUCUUAUAUCUCUAUCUCAUCUCUAGAUCUUUCUCAAUAGUUUUUCUUUUAGUUUUUGUAGGUCUUCCUCUACCUCUAGUGGUUUGACUAUCUUCCAUCUGAUCUACUCUCCUUACUACAUAAUCUAUAGGUCUCCUCUGUCCUCUAUACAGGCCCAAACCACCUAAGCCGAAUUUCCACCAUCUUUUCUACGAUGGGUGAUACUCCAACUCUCUAACACUGUCACUUCUAAUGCCAACAUGUCUAGUCUUACCACACAUCCAAAGCAACAUCCUAAUCUCCGCUACACUUAUUCUAUUCAGGUGUUGGUUCUUUACCACCCAACACUUGGUCCCUUGCAACAUCACCGAUCUUAAAGAUGUACAAUAAAAGAGAUUCUAGUUCAAGAAAGGGACAAUAUCCUGAAAAUGUGUUGGAACUGCACAUGAAAUAGAAAAUGGUAGAGGAAAUGCAAAAGGUUAACAACCUGACCUCUUCUCUUCCCGUGUUUAAGGAAAAGCUGAGGAGCAAAGAACAUGGGAUAUUAGCACAGUUUUCAAAGCUACUGGUAAGAGAGGCCCAACAUGUAAAUUGAACACUCUUUUUUAUUCUGUUAUUGAAUGUUA
rnacentral:lncRNA from 1 species